AGUGUACAUGAUGAUACUUUUCAUGCUGCAAACUCCUGAAGUUGCUAUGUGGAAAACUCCCUUGGAGAGCUGAGCACUCU